rnacentral:lncRNA from 1 species
ACGUCCCGUGCACUGGGGACCACAGCUUCUUCAGCGUGUCCAGCAGUUUCUGUGGGGUGAGAAUGUGCGUGGAUCCUGGGAAGGCAGAGAAGACAGUAAGUUCACUCACCUAUUGCAGCCUGAGACUUCUGUCCCCAACUCUCCAUCCCCCCAACCCUGGUCUGGGUCCAGUGGAAGCUAGGAGGGGUUUGGGGAUGGAACCCUUGGGACCCGUCAAAUAGGCUAAAGAGGUAUUUAGGUACAGGCAGGGUCCCAGGCUGACCCAGGAACCACUUCUCAGAGCCCAGUGCCAUCUGUCAAGUUACUUGUGCUUCCUUCAUUAUCUCUUGAAGUCAAGAUGAAGCCAGGGAAAGAAAUUUCAAAUAUGGCAAGAGACAGCGGCUGAGAAGGGCAGAGGCUUGUAGGUGUCUCUAUGUGGAGAGAAUGGUGCCUGGCAGGACUUGGGGACCCACUAACCUCUGGGAGCCGGCAUGUUGGUGCUGGCACAGUGGGGGACCUCAGGUGUGAGGGGAAGGGCAGGGACCUGAGGCCUUACCUUGUGGAGACCGUAUUGUAAGAGACUUGUAAGACAUUAGAAAUGCUUGCGAAAGUUUAAGCUAAUGGAAUCAGAUAUACUUCUAGAGCAAAGGUAAAAAAAAUACAAAUAAAAAAUUUAAAUG